AACGUAGGAGGCAAGCGUUAUCCGGAUUUACUGGGCGUAAAGCGCGUGCAGGUGGUUAACUAAGUCGUGCGUGAAAGCACCCUGCUCAACAGGGUGAGGUCGGGCGAUACUGGUUGACUAGAGCUAGAUAGAGGCAAGUGGAAUUCCGGGUGUAGUGGUGAAAUGCGUAGAGAUCCGGAGGAAUACCAGUGGCGAAGGCGGCUUGCUGGGUCUAAGCUGACACUCAGACGCGAAAGCAUGGGGAGCGAACGGG
rnacentral:rRNA from 1 species